rnacentral:RNase_P_RNA from 1 species
CCUGCUCUUUGGAUGAUCGCCCCUACCUUCGCGGUACGGGGAGGAACGUCCGGGCUCCAUUGGAACGCCUAGUGGGUAACGCCCACCUGCCCGUCACAUAUCCGGUAAAGGCGGGUACGGACCAGUGCCACAGAGACGAGCCCCGCAAGGGGAGUGAAACGCCUCGGAGCACCGAGGCCCCGUGCAAACGGGGUUGGCAAACUCUAGGUGGAGCAAGGAGGAUUUGGGUUUUCGGAUCACGCAGUGGUUCCGCUGCGCCGAUCACCCCUCCGCAUCGAGGUUUCCGGGUAACCGGGACCCCAGAGAGAUGGUCAUCUCUCCGCGCUUCAUGGCACGGAGAACAGAACCCGGCGUACAGAAGAGCGGGACCA